GGGAGAGCUACAUUUCCAGUUUCAUUUACUGUGCACUUACAAUGACUUCUAUGGAAAACAACAGAAUAGAACAUGAAGACACUGAAGCACAUAAUUUUAAGACGAACAGUUUGAUAAUGAUUGAGGAAAUGCUGAAACUGAAGACCACGAUUCAACAAGACACUACAGCAUUGAUU